rnacentral:rRNA from 1 species
AUUGAACGCUGGCGGCAGGCCUAACACAUGCAAGUCGAGUGAGCGGCGGACGGGUGAGUAAUGUAUGGGGACUGCCCGAUAGAGGGGGAUAACUACUGUAAACGGUAGCUAAUACCGCAUACGAUCGGAUAACCCCCAUGUGAUUAGCUAGUAGGUGAGGUAAUGGCUCACCUAGGCGACGAUACCUAGCUUGUCUGAGAGGAUGAUCAGCCACACUGGGACUGAGACACGGCCCAGACUCCUACGGAGGCAGCAGUGGGGAAUAUUGCACAAUGGGGGCAAGCCUGAUGCAGCCAUGCCGCGUGUAUGAAGAAGGCCCUAGGGUUGUAAAGUACUUUCAGUCGGGAGGCGUUACCGACAGAAGAAGCACCGGCUAACUCCGUGCCAGCAGCCGCGGUAAUAC